GCCAAGCGGUGCCAUGUCCUCACCAGGGAUCUGAACCAGCGAACCCCCAGUCACGGAAGCUGAACGUGCGAACUUAACCACUGCGCCACCGAGGCCGGACCUGAAUUGGGAGCAGGUGCCCACAAAGCACUGAUGAGUCAGUAAGUCAGCCUCCCCAGAAGGGGGAGCCCCGGAGUCACCAACGGUACCCCCCAGAAAGAAGGGGUGUUGUCCUCAGCUGGAUGGAUGCUCGAAGACCACCCACCAGCGCCUCCACCUUCCAGCCGACAGCAAGGAGGCAAGGGAAAAUGGAGGGCCACUGGCUCCCUUCAAGGCCCAACCCAUGAGUAUACACAUCUCUCCAACUCAUCUCCUCCUGGCCAGAACUGAGUCACGUGGUACACCUGGCUGCAAGAGAGGCAGAGAAAUGUGGUUUGUAUUGUGGGGGACUGUGUGCCCAGCCCAAAACUGGAGAUUCUCUUACUUUAGAAGAGUGAUGAUUGGCUAUUGGAGACCCCCCCCUGCCAGUCUCAAUCAGAUGUUCCUUGCAGAAUAACAACCCAGGGUUGCUGGCUUUUUAAAUUUUAAAAGAAACUAAAAAGCCAGACCUUAAUGUGAAAAUGUUUCCUUUUUUUUUUAGUGAGGAAGAUUGGCCCUGAGCUAACAUCUGUGCCAA